GCCGGGCGUGGUGGCGUGCGCCUGUAAUCCCAGCUACUUGGGAGGCUGAGGCAGGAGAAUUGCUUGAACCCGGGAGGCAGAGGUUGCAGUGAGCCAAGACUGUGCCACUGCACUCCUGCCUGGGUGACACAGUGAGACUCCAUCUCAG
rnacentral:SRP_RNA from 1 species